rnacentral:rRNA from 1 species
CCUACGGGUGGCAGCAGUGAGGAAUAUUGGUCAAUGGGCUUACGCCUGAACCAGCCAAGUCGCGUGAGGGAAGACUGCCCUAUGGGUUGUAAACCUCUUUUGUCAGGGAGCAACGCCGGCUACGUGUAGCCGGACUGAGAGUACCUGAAGAAAAAGCAUCGGCUAACUCCGUGCCAGCAGCCGCGGUAAUACGGAGGAUGCGAGCGUUAUCCGGAUUUAUUGGGGUUAAAGGGUGCGUAGGCGGAAUGCCAAGUCAGCGGUAAAAUCGCGGGGCUCAACCUCGCUCCGCCGUUGAAACUGGCGUUCUUGAGUGGGCGAGAAGUAUGCGGAAUGCGUGGUGUAGCGGUGAAAUGCAUAGAUAUUAGGAGGAACAUCAGUGGCGAAGGCGACUAUCUGGACAGCAACUGACACUGAGGCACGAAAGCGUGGGGAGCAAACAGGAUUAGAUACCCCAGUAGUC